GGAUGAACGCUAGCGGCAGGCCUUAAUACAUGCAAGUCGAACGGUGUCUUCGGGACAUAGUGGCGCACGGGUGCGUAACACGUAUGCAACCUACCUUACAUUGGGGGAUAGCCUUUCGAAAGGGAGAUUAAUACCGCAUAAGACAGUAACUGGGCAUCCAGUAGCUGUUAAAGAUUUAUCGAUGUAAGCUGGGCAUGCGACCAAUUAGUUAGUUGGCGGGGUAAUGGCUCACCAAGACUAUGAUUGGUAGGGGAACUGAGAGGUCAAUCCCCCACACUGGCACUGAGAUACGGGCCAGACUCCUACGGGAGGCAGCAGUAGGGAAUAUUGGGCAAUGGACGCAAGUCUGACCCAGCCAUGCCGCGUGCAGGAUGAAGGCGUUAUGCGUCGUAAACUGCUUUUAUACAGGAAGAAACGACUCUUGCGAGAGGCAUUGACGGUACUGUAUGAAUAAGCACCGGCUAACUCCGUGCCAGCAGCCGCGGUAAUACGGAGGGUGCAAGCGUUGUCCGGAUUUAUUGGGUUUAAAGGGUGCGCAGGUGGUUUAUUAAGUCAGUGGUGAAAGACGGUCGCUCAACGAUUGCAGUGCCAUUGAAACUAGUAGACUUGAGUAAAGUAGAGGUGGGCGGAAUUGAUAGUGUAGCGGUGAAAUGCAUAGAUAUUAUCAAGAACUCC
rnacentral:rRNA from 1 species